rnacentral:rRNA from 1 species
AAAUAGUUCCUGUAACAAAACAAUUCGCCAGAGAACUACUAGCAACAGCUUAAAACUCAAAGGACUUGGCGGUGCUUUAUAUCCCUCUAGAGGAGCCUGUUCUAUAAUCGAUAAACCCCGAUAAACCUCACCAUCCCUUGCUAAUACAGUCUAUAUACCGCCAUCUUCAGCAAAC